CUUCAGCUUCCCAUUAAAAAAAAAUAAAGAUAGAAAGAUAGGACGAAUAAAUAUGAAUUUGAAGGGGAAUUCUGCCAAAACCCAAACCUCCCAAAUCUGGUUCAGCCACAUUCUUGCCCACAGCCUGUACUUCUCGGUGCCUCCCUGCAUUUUUCAAAAUGCAGCUGCACAGACCUCUUAAAAUUCAGAUUUCUAGCACCUAUAAUUACAGGGAGCUCGAGCCAGGCUCCUUUAAUUAAUGAACCUGACUCCUCUCUCUUCCGAGGAAAUCUGCAUAAGGGAUGUAUCACACAGGGGUGAACUGGCCCCUGAUCAGUGCUAUCUGCUCUCUCUGCCAGAUGAGCCAGCACUGCACCUCCAACAGGAGCACGAAGUUGCCCCCACCCCGCCUCCACCAUAUAACCCGAUCUGGCACAAGCCCAUAAUGCAGUUAAGGCCAUAAGACAUUUCUUGGAACUUAAGGGAAGAGAAUGAUGCUUUCCUGGGUGUGACCAGCCAAAUCCAAAGAGAAUGAGAUUCUCCCCGGUUCAAAUGCUCCCCUGAUUUUACUCUCUUCCCUCUGCUGGGAUGAAAAGCAGAGGGUGCAGGCAGAAGCCACUGUUCAAGGCUGGACAAGCAACAGAGGGAGUAGCCUGGGCUUCGAAAACUCUGGAAAAGAAAUGAACACAACAAGCCUGGGAUUGACAUGCAUCCCAAAGCUGAAACAAAACUGGAAAGGAGGCUUCAACGUUCCAGUGACUUUCUGCUGCUGUGAAUACAAUUUCGGAAGAAAGGAGAAAAAAAAACAGUAACAUCAGUCUAUCCAAUGGUUAAACCCUCAGAUUAAAGCAAGGCAUGCUUACUGAUGGCUGAGUCUAACUCCGUGCGCCUGUCUUGUUUCCUGGCACGGCGACCUGCCAUCGUCAUGGCCAACCCCCAGACGCUAACACCACACACCAUCCCUGCUUUCCCACUAGAUCUGGCUCCAAAUCCAUAAGCAUAUCCCAGCCUGGAUCCACAGCCCUCGGUGCUGCAGUAGAGCUCCAGCCUGAGAACACGACUGACCGACUGACUGUAGGAGCCACUGCUUCCGUGUUUCCAAACCACAAGCAGCCAGAGCUGGGUGAAGGAUUUUUUAAUUUGGUUUGGUUUUCCAACCAAGACAUUCUCAAAGUUCAAUGUUCUUUGAAGUGGAAGCAUUUAAUUUUCGAACAAACAAUUGGAAGCACAGGACCAGAGAAAACGCAGAAUCGAGGACGAAGGUCAGGAUACGCAAAAAUAAGGAGCAGGGAGGUAGCUGAGUUCAGGAAUGUCCAGGGAGUCUUGGCAUGGGAGCUCACACCAGCUGGCCAGGCACUCUCUUUCCAGGGUGUCUCAAGGGGAAAUCACCCAUCGAUCCUAGGACACACUGGUUCUAGGACCAAUCCCUUACCUCAGAACAGCCUCUGCCUCACAUUCCUGCUUGCGCUUUAAUGUUUAAAUUAUUAAAUGCAUUAAUGUAUUUACA